AUAUAAGUUCAUUGCUUAAAUUAAUUUCGUCAGUCUCUAAGUUUGACAGUGCUUAGAGAUUCAGUCACUUGCAGUCUUGAUUUACUGUUACUGACAAAAACCGUGAAAAUGAACAAUAGACUAAUAUUGAUCCUGGUCCCCUGUGUGGUUUUGUUUGUAAUCAUUCAAUCCAGUAUGGGGCAGUACGGUAAUAUGUACCCCGGGUAUGGCGGUGGAUACGGCGGUGGAUACGGCGGUGGAUACGGAGGGAGUGGGUACGGCUCCACUGGGAUACUGGGUGACGUGAGGAAAGGAUUGGGCGUAUUUGGAGGCAUUUCCGGAAUUCUCCUUUUGUACUUCCUGUUCAACGGAACUGGACAGGUUGCCGGAUAAAACGGAAAUGACGUCAUAUCGUUACACAAGCAUACAGGGGUCGGUCCAGCAGCCAAAGAUUUCUUGCUCACUAGAACAUGUAAUACAUUUUGUUGAUGUAAAUAAAAUGAUGACUUUUAUUA